GGGCAGAUGCCGGAGUGGUCUAACGGGACCGCCUGCAGAGCGGUUAUCCGGGGGUUCGAAUCCCUCUCUGCCCU
rnacentral:tRNA from 1 species